UACAGAGGGUGCGAGCGUUGUUCGGAAUUACUGGGCGUAAAGGGCGCGCAGGCGGCGGAUCAAGUCAGGCGUGAAAGCCCCGGGCUCAACCUGGGAACUGCGUCUGGGACUGGUUUGCUAGAGUUCGGGAGAGGAGCGUGGAAUUCCCAGUGUAGAGGUGAAAUUCGUAGAUAUUGGGAAGAACACCGGUGGCGAAGGCGGCGCUCUGGACCGAGACUGACGCUGAGGCGCGAAAGCGUGGGGAGCAAACAGGAUUAGAUACCCUGGUAGUCCACGCCGUAAACGAUGUGUGCUAGACGUUGGGGAGCCUAGCUCUUCGGUGUCGCAGCUAACGCGGUAAGCACACCGCCUGGGGAGUACGGCCGCAAGGUUAAA
rnacentral:rRNA from 1 species